UACGAGGGGUCCUAGCGUUGUUCGGAAUCAUUGGGCGUAAAGGGCGUGUAGGUGGCUAUUCAAGUCAGUUGUGAAAUCCCCGGGCUUAACCCGGGAAGUGCUUCUGAUACUGUUUAGCUUGAGUACUGGAGAGGAUAGUAGAAUUCCUGGUGUAGUGGUGAAAUACGUAGAUAUCAGGAGGAAUACCGGUGGCGAAGGCGGCUAUCUGGCCAUGUACUGACACUGAAACUCGAAAGCGUGGGGAGCAAACAGG
rnacentral:rRNA from 1 species